rnacentral:rRNA from 1 species
UACGGAGGGUGCGAGCGUUGUCCGGAAUCACUGGGCGUAAAGGGCGCGUAGGCGGCUCAUGAAGGCUGUGGUGAAAGUCCGGGGCUCAACUCUGGAACUGCCUUUGAUACUGAGGAUCUUGAGUUCGGGAGAGGUGAGUGGAACUGCGAGUGUAGAGGUGAAAUUCGUAGAUAUUCGCAAGAACACCAGUGGCGGAGGCGGCUCACUGGCCCGAUACUGACGCUGAGGCACGAAAGCGUGGGGAGCAAACAGGG